rnacentral:rRNA from 1 species
CGAAAGGGACGCUAAUACCGCAUGAUGUUCCGGGGUUGAAGACCUGGAAACCAAAGCCGGGACCGCAAGGCCUGGCGCUUGGAGAGGGGCCCGCGCCCGAUUAGCUAGUUGGUGAGGUAACGGCUCACCAAGGCAACGAUCGGUAGCCGGCCUGAGAGGGCGGACGGCCACACUGGGACUGAGACACGGCCCAGACUCCUACGGGAGGCAGCAGUGGGGAAUUGUUCGCAAUGGGCGCAAGCCUGACGACGCAACGCCGCGUGGAGGAUGAAGGUCUUCGGAUUGUAAACUCCUGUCGACCGGGACGAACGGCCCGCGACCUAACACGUCGUGGGAGUGACGGUACCGGUGGAGGAAGCCCCGGCUAACUCUGUGCCAGCAGCCGCGGUAAUA